UCCGAUAUAGUACAGUGGCCAGUAUAUCCCGCUCUCAAGCACUCGUUGCAGGGCACCGGGAAGACCAGGGUUCAAUUCCCUGUAUCGGAG